rnacentral:rRNA from 1 species
AACGUAGGACGCGAGCGUUAUCCGGAGUUACUGGGCGUAAAGCGCGGGCAGGCGGUCUGACAAGUCUGAUGUGAAAUCUCCGGGCUUAACCGGGAGAGGCCAUUGGAAACUGACAGGCUGGAGGGCAGUAGAGGUAGGCGGAAUUCCGGGUGGAGUGGUGAAAUGCGUAGAGAUCCGGAGGAACACCAGAGGCGAAGGCGGCUUCCUGGCCUGUUCUUGACGCUGAGGCGCGAAAGCUAGGGGAGCAAACGGG